AGGACGAACGCUGGCGGCGUGCUUAACACAUGCAAGUCGAACGGAAAGGCCCGCUUGCGGGUACUCGAGUGGCGAACGGGUGAGUAACACGUGGGCAACCUGCCCUCAGCUUCGGGAUAACACUUGGAAACAGGUGCUAAUACCGGAUAAUAACCUUUCAUCGCAUGGUGUGGGGUUCAAAGUUUUUCGGCUGGGGAUGGGCCCGCGGCCUAUCAGCUUGUUGGUGGGGUAAUGGCCUACCAAGGCGACGACGGGUAGCCGGCCUGAGAGGGCGACCGGCCACACUGGGACUGAGACACGGCCCAGACUCCUACGGGAGGCAGCAGUGGGGAAUAUUGCGCAAUGGGCGGAAGCCUGACGCAGCGACGCCGCGUGAGGGAUGACGGCCUUCGGGUUGUAAACCUCUUUCAGCUCUGACGAAGCGCAAGUGACGGUAGGAGCAGAAGAAGCACCGGCCAACUCGUGCCAGCAGGCCGC
rnacentral:rRNA from 1 species